rnacentral:rRNA from 1 species
GUAAUGUCUGGGAAACUGCCUGAUGGAGGGGGAUAACUACUGGAAACGGUGGCUAAUACCGCAUAACGUCGCAAGACCAAAGAGGGGGACCUUCGGGCCUCUUGCCAUCAGAUGUGCCCAGAUGGGAUUAGCUUGUUGGUGAGGUAACGGCUCACCAAGGCGACGAUCCCUAGCUGGUCUGAGAGGAUGACCAGCCACACUGGAACUGAGACACGGUCCAGACUCCUACGGGAGGCAGCAGUGGGGAAUAUUGCACAAUGGGCGCAAGCCUGAUGCAGCCAUGCCGCGUGUAUGAAGAAGGCCUUCGGGUUGUAAAGUACUUUCAGCGGGGAGGAAGGUGUUGUGGUUAAUAACCGCAGCAAUUGACGUUACCCGCAGAAGAAGCACCGGCUAACUCCGUGCCAGCAGCCGCGGUAAUACGGAGGGUGCAAGCGUUAAUCGGAAUUACUGGGCGUAAAGCGCACGCAGGCGGUCUGUCAAGUCGGAUGUGAAAUCCCCGGGCUCAACCUGGGAACUGCAUUCGAAACUGGCAGGCUUGAGUCUUGUAGAGGGGGGUAGAAUUCCAGGUGUAGCGGUGAAAUGCGUAGAGAUCUGGAGGAAUACCGGUGGCGAAGGCGGCCCCCUGGACAAAGACUGACGCUCAGGUGCGAAAGCGUGGGGAGCAAACAGGAUUAGAUACCCUGGUAGUCCACGCCGUAAACGAUGUCUACUUGGAGGUUGUGCCCUUGAGGUGUGGCUUCCGGAGCUAACGCGUUAAGUAGACCGCCUGGGGAGUACGGCCGCAAGGUUAAAACUCAAAUGAAUUGACGGGGGCCCGCACAAGCGGUGGAGCAUGUGGUUUAAUUCGAUGCAACGCGAAGAACCUUACCUGGUCUUGACAUCCACGGAAGUUUUCAGAGAUGAGAAUGUGCCUUCGGGAACCGUGAGACAGGUGCUGCAUGGCUGUCGUCAGCUCGUGUUGUGAAAUGUUGGGUUAAGUCCCGCAACGAGCGCAACCCUUAUCCUUUGUUGCCAGCGAUU